CUCUGGAGUAAAGGAACAGUGCAAAGCGCGCAAGGAAUCGAUAUACACUUGUUUUACUUGUUAUUGCAAUUCAGUUCCUGGAAAAGCCACGAAAUGCCUAAGAAGUCGGAUGCCGCCAUGCUCGGGCCUGGAGGAUGUUAUCCCUCACCAUUCCCCCCACAGCUACCAAAUCCAUUUCCAAGGAAUCCAAAUCCAGAGCCAUGGAUAUUACCCCUGCCUGGCCCUUUCGGUGGACCUUUCGGUGGCGGUUGCUUUGGGACAGGAAAGAAAUAAAUUCUUGUGACAUCAUGUACGCAUAUUUGUAAUAAAGAUAUGUGGUUCUA